UCCACCUGGAACAGAGAGAAGUCCGUCAGGGGACCUUGCUGCGGAACUUGAGACCGGGAGUGCCGCUGCUGGUUCCCAUGACAAACUGGAGUCUGUCACAAGUCUGUGCAGCAUGGUUAAGAGGGCUUUACUGUCCCGACAGCAGCGUCAACUCAACCGAAGAACUGGUCUCCAAAAACAGUUCAUCCAAGCCUGAUGAGUCUUUGCCCACCGUAAACAACCUCUGUAACACCAACAAGACAAGCAUGGGGGAUGAUCCACUUCCUGAACUCUGUGACACUGGGAACUUAACACACAACACCAGUGAAACCCCCCGAGAGGUCAAAGGGCUUUUAAUUGAGAGCCUGCAGGAUUCUGGUCCAGAAGAAAAAGCAGAGAAGCUGAGCCCGGCUCCCCACACACAUUCGGAAGGUAAAUGUGCGCAUGAGCUCUCAGUUUACCUGAGAGGAGAAGAGUGUGGUGACGCAGAGGUCCUGACCCAGAGCACAGGUGUAUCUGCUGUCCCGCUGCCCUCUGCCCCGCCACCAAGGACCACAGGAGCCCAUCCUGAAGGAGACCCUGAGCACAGUCUCGGAGAAGUGCAGCGAAGGUAAGGCUGGAAAGAAGUUCCAGAUCACCCUCCAGUUAAAGAGAAAAUCAGCAGCCUUAGAAAAGGACAUCAUCGUAACCACUGAGACCGCUCCUCCAGGGAGGAACAUGUCCACAAAGGGAGGAGUCGGAGUCAGAGUCGGAGUAGGAAUCGGUGUAGAAGUUGGAGCAGGAGUCUGAGCAGGACUGAAGACCAUUGUCACGAAAAGUGGCGCUCCUUCACCAGAAGGCACAGCAAGCACAAGGGCCACGCCAUGGAGCACUACAAGAGGAGCCAUCACCUUGUAUGCUAUGGUGAGAGAGUCAGCCCCAGCAAGCACCUCAGUAUGAGCAGGUACAGCUACCACCACUCACCAACCAGGAGCAGGGCUGUCCAGGACCGGAGCCUAUACCACCACUCACACAGUGAGCGCGCCUGGCUCCGGGAGAAGCACUACCCUGAGAAGAUGCCGCAGGACAGGAGCAGGUACUACCCCGACAGGUACACCCCCUACGCAGUCAGGGAGCCCAGUAUGACGCGGCCACACAAGGACUCCUCCCGGGCCAGGAAGGGCUGGGAGCAGAUCCCAGUGAGGGAGCAGACCCACCUCCACAGCCCACACACAGGAGCUGCAGCUCCUUUCCCUCUGCACCAAAAGCACUAUCCCCAGGAGAAGGUGGCCUUCGGAGCUGACCACAAUGGUGGCCUCUCGGAUCGGCUUCAUGAACACGAAAGCGUAAAGUCAUGCAAACGCAGGUACGAGAGCACAGAAAGUAGGGACAGUCACCUGGAGAAGAAAGCCCACAGGAGCCUGCCGAGAGACCUGGACGAGCCUAAGGUGAAGAGCCGCAAAAAAUCAAAGAAGAAAAAGAAAUCGAAAGACAAACACCAAGAGCUUGGCUACAGGUAUCGGCUGGAUCCAUGUGUUCUGGUAGUGUAUUCUGACGCUGACCUCUGCAGACACAAAAAGAAGAAGAAGAAAAAGAGGAGGCGCUCAGGGAAAUCAGAAGAUUCUGUAAAAGAACCAAGAUUGUACUUACUGAAGGUCUUAAGAUAUGAGACUGUCAACCAUUUCUGGAGACCUGAGGGGAGCUUUCUGUUCGCCAAUGGCCUGGCUGUGGAGGUCAACAGCCUUUUCCAAAAGAAAACCAAGCAUUUAAGGAUGGAGAGCAGGGCCGACAGAUGCCACCCGGUGGAGUAUGGCCAGGGUAAGAGGAGAUUCUUCGAACUGAGAAGAGAAAAACUCUUGAUAAGUUUUUCUGGAAAUGGCAACUCACACAUGGAGAUGGAACCUUAAGUGCCUUGAAAGGGCACUGGAGUAACGCAGGGCUCCGGCCUCACCCCUGUUGACUCCCAAACUGUGUGAAUCGUUUUCCCUGUGUGGUUUGGGUACUUGAUGCUGCUCCAUUAGCACUGAAGGAUGGUGACGUGGACCUAGAAUUUAUGGCGUUCCGGUUGUCUGAGUAUUUGCUCACAAGAGAAAACUUCUGUGUUUUCCAAGCAUUUUUGGUAGCAAUGCUUUUGCAUUAUUUGCUUUACUCUGCUGAUUCCUUAAAGCACUCACAGUGUAUCCUAACUCAUAAUGUGACCACAUGGGACAUUGGAAAUAUUAGCGGCCACCUCUACCAGUGAUGCCUUUGAGGCUCCUGGCAUUACUGACUCACUUCAGGCUACUGGGCGCCUUGGAUUCUUGAGUGUAGACUGUGUCUUUUCAUAAUUUAGCAGCUGUUUGUGCUCUGAUUGCUCUUGGACAGCCCCUCCCCCUUUCUAACUGGUUCCCUGCCGAGGAUCCUUCAGAAGCUUGUUAAGAAUGAAAGCGAUAGGAUUCGGGGCCUGGGGCACAGGUUGGCAAGCUGCUUCUCGAAGGCCAAAGCUGGCCCUGCACCUGUCUCACAUCACCUGUGAGGUAAGAAUGGCUUUCAUGUUUUCAAAACUUCCAAAGAGGAACAGUAGUAUGUUUCACCUGAAGAACGUGUGAAAUUCAGGUAUCAGUGUCUGUAGACUUUAGCUGAAGCACAGCCCGUGUUCUGCGUGCUGCUGGCACUCUUGACAGAGGUGAGAAGUUGCAGCUGAGAGGGACACCCAUCAUACUCUAAGUGUUUGUCACGUGGCCUUUCACAGAAAAGGAAGUUUGCCAGGCCCUGCCCUAGACACUGCGGAGAAAUGUGUUACCUUGGGGAGGCCCAGGCAGGGGAGGCCCGUGGCUCCUGUGGUCCCUGGUUGGGUGCAGUUGUCAUGGGUGUGAAGAGAAGCUGGCCUGAGAAACGCUGAGACCACCACAGGGGUACAGGCUGACACCUGCUGCCAGGACUGGAGGGAAUGUGGCAUUUGCUCUAGGUUCACAUUAACAUUUCAGCGAUUUGCGGAAGGGAAUUGGUCCUUCUCAGCUCCAUGUGGUACCUGAGGAUCAGAUAUUGAGACGAUUAGGUCUGCGUGUCGGGCAGAGUCGCUGCAUUGUCAGAGUCCCUCAUCCUGGCUGGGCUGGUCAAGCCCCAGAGACCGCCGAUCUGGGGACAGCAAGUGGUCCGACUUGGUGCUGGCAUGGCAUUCAGGGCUGAGCCCACUUGUCCACUGCAGGUGCCGCAGGCAGGUCGUGUCUGAGCAGUGGCCGAGUCCGCCCCUAGUCCAGGGGCACUGAUGACUGAUUGGCAGCCAACUCGUCUGUGGGCUCCAGGCCUCCUGAGAGGGGCCCUGGCUGAGGGCGACACUCUGCCAUGUCCUAUAGCCUUGCCUCCAUGUCCUUUGAACACUCCCCUUUCUCUUGCAAACUCCUGAGCUCUGGCUCCAUCCAAAUCCGGUGCAUUUCUUUGGCCGUGGCCUGAAGCCUGUUCAUCCUGCUGUGAGAACUCAGCAGUGUGACGGGGCAGGCGUGGCCUGUUCCCCAGGGCCAGCCUCUCCAGGCAUCUUCCCUGAAAACAGUGGCCUUCCAGUGUCAUGGAAACCCAUUUUGCUUUCAGGAGGACACCUGCAGCAGUGCUUGUGCCAGCCUGUGCUCACUCAGCCUGACGGGCUGAGUGCAGGCAGCCAGUGUUAAACUACAGGAAAACUAAGUCUAACUGUAACCACUUAAUGCACACCCAGAGCACAGACACUACAAAUUGUACAAAGUCAUUCAAAUGUUUCCUAACCUUUGCCUUCCAGGUGAUUAAAACCUUGGCCUCAAACAAAAAAUGCACUAGAUAAGGCAAGUACUUUCCUGUCUCCCCAUUCUCUUUGUAGAAGCACUGAGGGGGGACAGAGAGGGCAUUUCACUUCUGAGGAAAACCCAAGGCCUGGGGUGGAGCUGUGGAAACAGCAGCAGGGGCGGGGCGCUGAGCUCCAAGCCAGCACUGGAGAGCGCGGGGACCUCUUUCCCCAUCAGCUUGCUAGGACUAGCGCAGCCUUGGCAAAGGGAGGGCGGUGGCUGUUUCCUACCUGCUCCCUCCCUGAGGAAGCCAGCAAGGCUCUCACAGUCAGAAUCUGCAGUCAUUGGAUAAGCAUCUGGGAUGAGACGUCCGUGUCCCCAACCCAGACAGCAGAGCCCAUCCCAAGAACUGAGCACCUAGGGCUAGAGGUCAUGGUGAGGCUGGGUCAUGCCCCUCACCUGACACGGCCACUCUGUUGGGAGGAGGUCCAGGUGACUUAGAGCAGAACCUUCUCGGUGUCAAGACUGUGCCUGAAUCACUCCUAUUCUGUGGUCCUGGGAGGAGGGGACUCCUGCUUCAUGCUGUGCACUUGGGAGGUAAAGCGGGUGGUGAACCAUUCAGCCGGUGAAAGGAGACUGUCCUUCCUUAUGUGUCUCCAGCCAAUCAGCAAGGGUGAUUUUCAGUGAACUUCAAGGUGAACUGUCGAUAGAAGAUCAGUGUGCAGUUAAUUAACAUGCUCUAUCUGUGCAUCCUCAGGGGAUGAACUAAGCCUAAAGAACUAAUUUCUUCCUGAGUAUAAGCAGUAUCUAAGCAUUGAGAAGAAUUAGCCACAGGUGGAGUUCAGGCUGGUGGGUGCAGCGGGGCCCAGCAGGUGGUGCUUCAUCUAUGAACAGCUCUUUCUUUGAGUCCAUUUGGGGCCACAUCAAACUACUUGUAAGUGUUUCAGGACCCCAGAGAUGGGGAGGCUUGUGUGGGUCCAGGGUCGGUCCAAACAAACUUCAGAUGAUAACGGGCCCAGCAAGACAGCUGCGGAGGCUGUGGAGCUGCCAUCUCCCCUCAAGGAUCCUCCUUGGAACUGCCUGCCCCCCUUUGUCUCUGGAGGAAACUUUGUCUUUGGCCAGAGUUCGGACUGACAACUCAAGACUGAGUGCAGACCCUCAGGUGGAGAGGUGAUCGGCGUGACUGAGCCUCUCCACCCCUGUAGGGGGAGGGGUCCCACGUCUGCAGUGUUGGGUGGAGGCCAGGUACACAGCAUGAUGGCAGGUGCCCUCAGGUUAAUACUUCACAAGAAAACCAGGGAUUAGGUGAUUUCAUGUAAUACUCUUGACAGGGCAAGUCACUUAAGAUU
rnacentral:lncRNA from 1 species